CCUACGGGAGGCAGCAGUGAGGAAUAUUGGUCAAUGGACGAGAGUCUGAACCAGCCAAGUAGCGUGAAGGAUGACUGCCCUAUGGGUUGUAAACUUCUUUUAUAAAGGAAUAAAACGAGGCACGUGUGCCUUUUUGCAUGUACUUUAUGAAUAAGGAUCGGCUAACUCCGUGCCAGCAGCCGCGGUAAUACGGAGGAUCCGAGCGUUAUCCGGAUUUAUUGGGUUUAAAGGGAGCGUAGAUGGGUUGUUAAGUCAGUUGUGAAAGUUUGCGGCUCAACCGUAAAAUUGCAAUUGAUACUGGAAGUCUGGAGUACAGGUGAGGUAGGCGGAAUUCGUGGUGUAGCGGUGAAAUGCUUAGAUAUCACGAAGAACCCCGAUUGCGAAGGCAGCUUACUAAACUGUGACUGACAUUGAUGCUCGAAAGUGUGGGUAGCAAACAGGAUUAGAUACCCGAGUAGUC
rnacentral:rRNA from 1 species